rnacentral:lncRNA from 12 species
AUGCAGACCUUGGCCAGUUUCUCCUCCACUGGUGAUCACAUUUCCUCCAUCUAUGAAGUCAGAAAACUUUCUCCACUGCAAGGAUGGGCAUUACAGAUAAGACUGGAUAUCCCCAAAACCAGCACAGGCAGAUGUUACCCAGAACUGAUAACCAGCAAAACCAAAGGAGCCUGGAAGAACCAAGAGGUGAUAAUCACCAGAACCAGAAGACGCUCAAGAGUGAUUAAACUCCUUUACAAAGGGAGGACUUUUGCAGCAACCGGUCAGAUUCUCCAGAUUCUUUCGUACCUGACCACAUCAGAAAGGUAACUGCUGCCAAAGCCUCUGCCUGUUUGCUCUCUGAACUUAAGACAGUUCCAUAGAGUUCCUCUAUGGCUUGAAUAGGUAACAGAGAUCCUCGGUGGCUUCAAUAAGCACUAAGCCCCUAGAGCUGACCUUGACCAGAUGGAGGACUCACCUCAACUGCACACUCAUGAUCUGGCCUUGUGUUCAGAUCCCUCACUUCUUACACCUUUUUGUAUCUUGUUUGUUGUGUGACUAUAUUAUGCUUUGCUUUGUGUUGUGUACAAAGCCAAAUUAAAUACAUACUGAAAUGUCAUUGAGUUUGAAUCCUGACUCUACUCUACAAUUAUGUUAACUUUGCUUUAUGACAUUAAAUACUGAGUAAAGACACAACUCAUGAGUGCCUGCACAGUGUUCUCAUAACAAGUUAUUUUUAGUGUGUUCAUGACAAGCUCAUAUUUAAAGCUAUUUCAUAAUCGAUAAUUAGAAUAUUCUUAACAGCAUGGAAACUAUCAUGCCUUUCUUUCCACAAAGCAAACACAUAGAUUUGACUGUAUUUUUUUUUAACCUUUGCAAUAAUGUCCAAUUCCUGGCUUCUUAUUAGUUAGUCACAAAUACAAGUGAGAUGGUCAUUGCCCCAUUUGCUUCUCAAAAUAUAAUUCUCUAAAUAUGGCUCCUUCACUCCUUGGUAUGCAAACACACAGCUAUCUUCUGGGAUUCCACUUGUAUAUCCUCAUGCCUGGCUUGUUUUACUUCCAGCAUCACUAGUAUCUAUGUGGUUUGAGCAACCAUGUUAUUCACAACUAGAACCAUAUACAGCACAUUCUUGGAGAUACUACUGGUGUCUCAAAAGGUAGGAGACAAUUCCUAGAGUUGUCACAUUCCCUCCCUCCAACAAAGUAGAGCUCACCCCAAGGCUUCCAGGGGACAGAGACUGGGUAAGCCAGAGACAAAGCAGGAAUCUCUGAAGAAUAUGAUCAAAAUGUCUAUGAAAAGAAUUUGAUAAAAAUGAGCCAGGUCCCAUAGAGGAAGGGAGUCUAGGCUAAAUACAUAGAGAAUUUGAGUAGUGAGUAGCUAGAGGAACAGGGAGAUAAGCUAUCAUCAAUAGACACCAUUGAGAGGCAGAGUCUCAAAGAAACAACAUUAGACUAUCACCUGGGGGCAAGGUUAAGUCUGACAUUCCUCCUCUGAGCUGUAACUGAGAUUCAAGGAUCUGCAGUGUCUGGGAUAGCUUACCUACCCACCCAACCAUGGAGGCAAACUGCCCUCAGUGGAAAGCUUCCCUAAAGUAGAUCCACAGGUCUCCUACAGAUUGAAUGCCAGAAUGACCUUACAAAUAAAGAUCACCAAACACACA